rnacentral:rRNA from 1 species
UGGGGAAUACUGCACAAUGGGCGGAAGCCUGAUGCAGCGACGCCGCGUGGGGGAUGACGGCCUUCGGGUUGUAAACUCCUUUCGACAGGGACGAAGCUUUUUGUGACGGUACCUGUAUAAGAAGCACCGGCUAACUACGUGCCAGCAGCCGCGGUAAUACGUAGGGUGCGAGCGUUGUCCGGAAUUACUGGGCGUAAAGAGCUCGUAGGUGGUUUGUCGCGUCGUCUGUGAAAUUCCGGGGCUUAACUUCGGGCGUGCAGGCGAUACGGGCAUAACUUGAGUGCUGUAGGGGAGACUGGAAUUCCUGGUGUAGCGGUGAAAUGCGGCAAGAUAUCAGGAGGAACACCGAUGGCGAAGGCAGGUCUCUGGGCAGUUACGUGACGCUGAGGAGCGAAAGCAUGGGUAGCAAACAGGAUUAGAUACCCUGGUAGUCCAUGCCGUAAACGGUGGGCGCUAGGUGUAGGGGGCUUCCACGUCUUCUGUGCCGUAGCUAACGCAUUAAGCGCCCCGCCUGGGGAGUACGGCCGCAAGGCGUAAAACUCAAAUGAAAUUGACGAGGUCAUAGCUGUUUCCU